AGUGUUCGGGGCCGUUUUGGCGGCUAUGCAGGAUUGGCAGGAGCUGCGAUGCUCACACUUGCCUCGCCGACCGCCAUUUCACAUCCAGCAGAGGAGGCGGGGGCAGCCGCUGAGACGGUUUUUCACAAGAAAUUAUUUUAAUAGAGAUGAGGUCUCACUAUAUUGCCCAAGCUGGUCUCGAACUCCUGGGCUCAAGCGAUCUUCCUGCCUCAGCCUCCCAAAGUGCUGAGAUAACAGGUAUGAGCCACCAUGCCCUGCGAAAUUAUUCUUUUUGAGACAGAGUGAGACUCUGUCACCCAGGCUGGGGUGCAGUGACCCAAUCUCAACUCACUGCAGUCUUGACUUCCCAGGCUCAAGCAAUCCUCCCACCUCAGCCUCCUGAGUAGCUGGGACUACAGGCGUGCACCUCUACACCCAGCUAUUUUUCAUAUUUUUUUGGAGACAGGGUUUCACUAUAUUGCCCAGGCUGGUCUCGAACUCCUGAGCUCAAGUGAUCUGCCUGCCUUGGCCUCCCAAAGUGCUGGGAUUACAGGUGUGAGCCAUGGCGCCCAGCCUCAAGCUAAAUUAUUCUUUGUGUCAUCCCUUUUCUUUCCUUCACUUUCAGAUAACUCAGUUUUCUUAACUACUGUAGGGCAAAUGUCUGAGUCAUUUAGUUCAGUGUUCCUCAACCAGGGGUGAUUUUUGCCGCCCUAGGGGACAUUUGGCAAAAUAUCUGGAGGCAUUUUUGAUUAUCACAUCUUACAAUGCAUAGGGCAGCCCCUGCAGCGCAAAGAAUUAUCAGGUCCAAAGUGUCAAUAGUGCAGGUGUUGAAAAACCCUGGCCUAGUUUAAAGUAAAUUUGUACCCAGCCCUUCAUCCAGUCUCUUGCCUUUAUGAAACCAUGAUGGAAAAGAAACUCAUUCCCUUUCAGAGGCAUUUGGAAGGCCUAAGUAAGUACGGCAAACUUUGGAGUCAAUUGCAUCAACCAUACAAAGUCCCAAAAGGCUUUAUAUGCAGGUUUCUGCAAUUUCUCCAUAGAACCUUCCUGGGUACAAGGUAGGCACAUAAAUAUUUGUUGCCUAAAUGAAUAAUAAUAAAAUAAUUCUUGGCUAAAAGACAUAUUUUAUUUCUUUCUCUUUAAACCAAAGUCAGAUUUAUCAUGUGGUGAGAGAUGAAUUUCCUGAACAGAGAUCUCUCUAUUCAUUUUAACCAAUUAAUUUACUCAGUUACUCAGAGAAGCAAAACUUUUCUGAAACAACUUCCACUUCCAUAAGUUAGCAGUAAUAGUCUUAAGGAAGGAAUUGAUAGCCUAUAAAUUAAAGAUGAUGUUUGAGGAACAAGAAAUAAAAGAAACUUUCAGAAUAGAGUAAUAUUAGAACUGAUGCCUGAGCUUUCCAGGACCCUCAUUUAAAUUACAUAUCCAGAAUUGAUAUUGGAGCAUUUCCAAUGGAUUAUAUUAUAGAUAGGCAGGAGGAGACCAAACACACAUAGAGUAAGGAUAGAUAAAAUUCCCAAUUUAAAUAAUUAAGAUGCAAAAUCUCAGAAGCUAGGUAUCUAUUUGGAUCAACAUAUCUCAGGGUAGUUUCCCCUGGCCCCAAAGUUUAUUGCAUUUUAAUAUUCACAGUGUAAAUCACAUUCCAGAAAAACUCCCACUAAAAAGCUUUUUACUGAGACUGGGCAGGGUGGCUCAUGCCUGUAAUCCCAGUACUUUGGAAGACCAAGGUGAGAUUAUUGCUUGAGCCCAGAAGUUUGAGACCAGCUUGGGCAACAUAGUGAGACCUUGUCGCUACAAAAAAUUAACAAUUAGCCAGGCGUGGUGAUGUAUGCCUGUAGUCCCACUUACUCAGGAGGCUGAGGCAGGAGGAUCACUGGAGCCUAGGAAGUUGAAGCUGCAGUGAGCCAUGAUCACCACUGCACUCCAGCCUGGGUCACAGAGCAAGACCCUGUCUCAAAAAACACACACACAGAAAACUUUGUUAUUGACACUGGAUUCUCCUAGAUUUUGCUUUAUUUUACAUCCUCAUUCCAGAGGCCAGAAAAGACUACUUAUUCUCAGAUGUGUAAAUAUAGAUAAGUCCUUCUGUUUCUUCAUUUUCUCAAUAAAAUGUAUUUUUCCAAUUUUAAAAGUUUUUAAAUGCAUAGCAUGGAAAACAUGGAGGACAAUAAAGAAAAAUAUAGAACAUUCAG
rnacentral:lncRNA from 1 species